GAUGAACGCUAGCGGCAGGCCUAAUACAUGCAAGUCGAACGGUGUAGCAAUACACAGUGGCGCACGGGUGCGUAACACGUAUGCAACCUACCUUACAUUGGGGGAUAGCCUUUCGAAAGGGAGAUUAAUACCGCAUAAGACAGUAACUAGGCAUCUAGUAGCUGUUAAAGAUUUAUCGAUGUAAGCUGGGCAUGCGUCCAAUUAGUUAGUUGGCGAGGUAAUGGCUCACCAAGACGAUGAUUGGUAGGGGAACUGAGAGGUCAAUCCCCCACACUGGCACUGAGAUACGGGCCAGACUCCUACGGGAGGCAGCAGUAGGGAAUAUUGGGCAAUGGGCGCAAGCCUGGCCCAGCCAUGCCGCGUGCAGGAAGAAGGCGUUAUGCGUUGUAAACUGCUUUUAUACAGGAAGAAACGACCCUUGCGAGGGGCAUUGACGGUACUGUAUGAAUAAGCCUCGGCUAACUACGUGCCAGCCGCCGCGGUAAUAC
rnacentral:rRNA from 1 species